ACGGAAGGCAGCAGUGGGGAAUAUUGCACAAUGGGGGAAACCCUGAUGCAGCGACGCCGCGUGAGUGAAGAAGUAUUUCGGUAUGUAAAGCUCUAUCGGCAGGAAAGAAAAUGACGGUACCUGACUAAGAAGCCCCGGCUAACUACGUGCCAGCAGCCGCGGUAAUACGUAGGGGGCAAGCGUUAUCCGGAUUUACUGGGUGUAAAGGGAGCGUAGACGGCUUUGCAAGUCUGAAGUGAAAGCCCGGGGCUCAACCCCGGAACUGCUUUGGAAACUGUAGAGCUAGAGUGCAGGAGAGGUAAGUGGAAUUCCUAGUGUAGCGGUGAAAUGCGUAGAUAUUAGGAGGAACACCAGUGGCGAAGGCGGCUUACUGGACUGUAACUGACGUUGAGGCUCGAAGGCGUGGGGAGCAAACAGGAUUAGAUACCCUGGUA
rnacentral:rRNA from 1 species